rnacentral:rRNA from 1 species
GAUGAACGCUGGCGGCGUGCCUAAUACAUGCAAGUCGAGCGAACAGACGAGGAGCUUGCUCCUCUGACGUUAGCGGCGGACGGGUGAGUAACACGUGGAUAACCUACCUAUAAGACUGGGAUAACUUCGGGAAACCGGAGCUAAUACCGGAUAAUAUAUUGAACCGCAUGGUUCAAUAGUGAAAGACGGUUUUGCUGUCACUUAUAGAUGGAUCCGCGCCGCAUUAGCUAGUUGGUAAGGUAACGGCUUACCAAGGCAACGAUGCGUAGCCGACCUGAGAGAGGGGUCGGCCACACUGGAACUGAGACACGGUCCAGACUCCUACGGGAGGCAGCAGUAGGGAAUCUUACGCAAUGGGCGAAAGCCUGACGGAGCAACGCCGCGUGAGUGAUGAAGGUCUUCGGAUCGUAAAACUCUGUUAUUAGGGAAGAACAAAUGUGUAAGUAACUAUGCACGUCUUGACGGUACCUAAUCAGAAAGCCACGGCUAACUACGUG